rnacentral:lncRNA from 1 species
GAUUAGUAUUCUAAGGAAGCAGUAUAAAAAGAGCAUGGUGAGAAGGUCAGAGUGUGGAGUCAGAUCUAACAAUUUGUCUCCAUUCUCUACUUAUUGGCUGUGUGACCUUGGGAAGAUAGCUUAACCUCUCUGACUCUUAAUUUUCCAUUGAGAGAGUUGUGACAAUCAAUGUGGAUGUUAUUUAAAGCAUUGCUUAUUAAAUCAAAGCAUAACUGUAGCUUAAAAAUGAAUUAUAGCUUCUCAUAGAGACUCUCUUCCAGAGUACAGUAUAGAACGGAAAAAAAAAAAAAAAAAGAGUAACUAUACAGUGGAGAAACCUGACAAGCACUGCCUUGGCCAAAUGACCAACGUUACUAUCAACAGCGAUAAAUAUUAUUGAUGGGCAUUCAUCAAGAUCAACAUACCUGCCAAGGCAAACCCUGUGAGCCCUGUGACUGGCCAUGUGGACUCGACAUCCUCCUUGUCCGCCGUCCACUCACUUGCAAACUGGUGUCAAUGAAGGUAACAUUUUGUGGUAAUGGCAACCAUAUGGGCUGGUGACUGCUGUCAGUAAAAAUAGCCCACAUGGCCUGUGUGGCCAGACACAACGUCAAGCUAAGAGAAGGAGACAGAAAGCUGUGUGAAGGAAAGAAAAAAAAAUAGUUUUAAAAGACUGGAGACGGAAGCCUGCCUGACUGUGAAGGAGGUUUCAGGGAGCUGAAACAUGCAGCCAAGCUGGGCUCAUCAACAGCAGAGACAUUUGCAUGAAACACCAGCCCUCCCCAGCCUGGCCUUCCACACUCUCAUGCCCCAGAUGAGAGGGGAUAGAAACAGGAUUCUAUCUGGGAACAGAGCCGAAGCUCAGCACAUGUACACAUCUCUGGGAUGUGUACAGAAUCUUCUCCUACCUAACCAACCCAGUAGAGAGCAAGGAGUUAGGGCCAGAAAUUUUAAACAACAACAACAACAACAAAAAAACCUAAGCAUAUAUUUUCAGUUCCUUUAAAAAUGUAUUAUGUUUUGUAGCAUAAUAGAAACAACGUGAAUUUGCAAAUUGCCAGACCUGAUUUGACUCUCACAAUAUGCUACUGAAUAAACACAAGC